rnacentral:rRNA from 1 species
AGAUUGAACGCUGGCGGCAGGCCUAACACAUGCAAGUCGAGCGGCAGCACGGGUACUUGUACCUGGUGGCGAGCGGCGGACGGGUGAGUAAUGCCUAGGAAUCUGCCUGGUAGUGGGGGAUAACGCUCGGAAACGGACGCUAAUACCGCAUACGUCCUACGGGAGAAAGCAGGGGACCUUCGGGCCUUGCGCUAUCAGAUGAGCCUAGGUCGGAUUAGCUAGUUGGUGAGGUAAUGGCUCACCAAGGCGACGAUCCGUAACUGGUCUGAGAGGAUGAUCAGUCACACUGGAACUGAGACGACGGUCCAGACUCCUACGGGAGGCAGCAGUGGGAAUAUUGGACAAGUGGGCGAAAGCCUGAUCAGCCAUGCCGCGUGUGUGAAGAAGGUUCGUUACGGAUUAGUAAAGCGUAACGUUUAAGGUUGGAAGG